rnacentral:tRNA from 1 species
AGGCAAACGAACUAGAGCUUGAUAGAAAGCGUUUCAUUUACACUGAUAUUUUAAUUGUGCAAUUCAAUUUGGUUUG